UUUCUUUUUAGUUUUUCGAGACAAGGUUUCUCUUUGUAAGAGCUGGCUAUCCUGGAACUCACUCUUGUAGACCAGGUGGCCUCAAACUCAGAGACUUGCCUGCCUCUGCCCUCUAUGUUAUGGGAUUAAAGGCAUGAGCCACCAUCGUCUGGAUUUUCUUUUCGCCCCCCAAGGGACUCAUGUGUCUCUGGCUGGCCUAGAAUUUACUCACAGGAUUACUAGUGAAUGAGAUCCAUUUAUCUAAGGACUUCUGGUGACAGUGGGAAUUACUUUCUGUAGCCCACUUCACUUUUGGAUUAAGGAGAAACAUUUCUACUGGAGUUUUUGUCACUGCUUAAAAACUUAGUGAUUAGAAAGAAAUUACCUCCAAGCAUGCAAUUAGAACCAGAGGCCUUAUUAAUCAUGAGAGCUGGAAACUGUUUCAUUACUCUUUUAUUUCAUUUGUUGUAUGAAAUAUGUAUACACACAUGCAUACAUGUGCCUCAGCCUGCCCAGUGACAGGACUAUAGGAGAUCACCAUCAGGCCCAGUUCCAGUUCUUUUCAAUGGUUAUUUGUUUGUGAGAGAGACAGGCCUUUUUGGGUUUUCACACAAGAAAGCCCUGUGUGAAAUACUAUGAGAACAUCAGAGGGCUGGCUUGGACUACUCUGCAAGACAGCACUGCUUAACAUUAGAUACUCAGCUUUAUCCAUGCCCUCAAAAAUACAAGGCACAGAUUAUGAACUCCCUGACCCUGUUUUGCACUUGAUCCAAACUCUGGUGUCAGUACAGAGGACUGGCAAGCAGAACUACAGGUGUUGGAUAGAGGAGAACAUGGACCCAAUGGCACCAGCA